CCAACAACUUGCUGAAAAAAAUUAUGCAAUUCUUGUACUGCAAAAUGACAUUGAUACUGAUUUUACAGGAAGAGUUGGAGGAAAUUCAGCAAGUAACACAAAACACCAAAACUCAAAAACACUACUCAGCAGAUAUUAGAACACUUAUAUACGACAUGCUUGUGUGUUAAGUUCCUGGUUUCAUUCACUACACAAUUCAUUUUCUACACAAUUCUGCAAUACAAACUUCGCUACAAGGAUGCAAAAGUGAUCCAAAGGGUUUUGGGUUCUUUUUGGACCAACACGAGUUGCCCAGAAGAUUGCUACCAUGCUAUAGAGGGAACAGAAUACAUAUGCUUUUUCACACAUGUGGUACUUUGAUCUAUAAUUAUUCCAUAUUGAAGAUAUUUUUGUGUUCUGGCUUGACAUUAUGUGAAUGUCUGCAAAAUGGUUUGUUUCAAGACUUUACAUCUGAAACAGGUUUUAACUAAUAGCAUGCUAAAAGAUUGCAAUUUGCUACUGUCUUAAAGUCCUCAAGAUUAUAUUUAAUAAUUCAGUUACACAACAUGAUGAGUACUACACGCUUGCUUUGAUGUUUGUUGAUCUUCUCAUUUCAAUAUUAAAUCGAUAUCAUUAUAUGUGGUUUCCAUCGCGUACUAAAGAUUCGACUCUUUCUAUGGAUGUCACAGUUUUAUUUACUU